rnacentral:rRNA from 1 species
GCGUGAAGGCGAGCACUCUAGACGAACUGCCGUUGACAAAACGGAGGAAAGUGGGGAUGACGUCAAAUCAUCAUGCCCCUUAUGUUCUGGGCUACACACGUGCUACAAUGGCCGGUACAGACGGACGCAAAGCCGCGAGGUGGAGCAAAUCCUAAAAAGCCGGUCUCAGUUCGGAUUGCAGGCUGCAAUUCGCCUGCAUGAAGUCGGAAUCGCUAGUAAUCGCAGGUCAGCAUACUGCGGUGAAUACGUUCCCGGGCCUU